rnacentral:snoRNA from 1 species
UGCUUCCUGGUGCUUGCCACAGGCUGUGUUCUUACACUGACAGUAUAGAAAGAGGAGGCAAAAUAAACCUACCUCAUAUACACCUCAGCCCAGGCCCUGGGUCUGGUCUGUAUUGUGAAUGGGGAGACAUGG